GGGUUGUGAGGUUAAGCGACUAAGCGUACACGGUGGAUGCCCUGGCAGUCAGAGGCGAUGAAGGGCGUGCUAAUCUGCGAUAAGCGCCGGUAAGGUGAUAUGAACCGUUAUAACCGGCGAUACCCGAAUGGGGAAACCCAGUGUGACUCGUCACACUAUCAUUAACUGAAUCCAUAGGUUAAUGAGGCGAACCGGGGGAACUGAAACAUCUAAGUACCCCGAGGAAAAGAAAUCAACCGAGAUUCCCCCAGUAGCGGCGAGCGAACGGGGAGGAGCCCAGAGCCUGAAUCAGCAUGUGUGUUAGUGGAAGCGUCUGGAAAGGCGCGCGAUACAGGGUGACAGCCCCGUACACAAAAGCGCAUGUGCUGUGAGCUCGAUGAGUAGGGCGGGACACGUGGUAUCCUGUCUGAAUAUGGGGGGACCAUCCUCCAAGGCUAAAUACUCCUGACUGACCGAUAGUGAACCAGUACCGUGAGGGAAAGGCGAAAAGAACCCCGGCGAGGGGAGUGAAAAAGAACCUGAAACCGUGUACGUACAAGCAGUGGGAGCACCCUUUGGGGUGUGACUGCGUACCUUUUGUAUAAUGGGUCAGCGACUUAUAUUCUGUAGCAAGGUUAACCGUAUAGGGGAGCCG
rnacentral:rRNA from 2 species